UGGCAAACAAGGCCAUCCAGGAUUUAUCUCAAACCAGCCUUGUUCACACAGAAUCUUGGACUCCAAGCCUGCCAUCUGCUGUUUUGCCUAGUGUAUUAUGGCAACCCAGCUUAUGAGGGGUUAGGAAGUCAUGAAAACCCCAUCAAUUAAGAGAACAUGCUGUGGUCAAGCGAAUGAGACAGAAAAUGGAGAUUUUUGUCUCCUCUGAGAAGACUGAGACUUGUGGUCACCCAGUGAGGUUAACUGGAAGAAGAUUAAAGAACGGCCAACUGACAAA